rnacentral:rRNA from 1 species
CUUGAACGCUGGCGGCAGGCCUAACACAUGCAAGUCGAACGAGUGGCGGACGGGUGAGUAAUGUCUGGGAAACUGCCCGAUGGAGGGGUAUAACUACUGGAAACGGUAGCUAAUACCGCAUACCAUCGGAUGUGCCCAGAUGGGAUUAGCUAGUAGGUGGGGUAACGGCUCACCUAGGCGACGAUCCCUAGCUGGUCUGCGCGGAUGACCAGCCACACUGGAACUGAGACACGGUCCAGACUCCUACGAGAGGCAGCAGUGGGGAAUAUUGCACAAUGGGCGCAAGCCUGAUGCAGCCAUGCCGCGUGUAUGAAGAAGGCCUUCGGGUUGUAAAGUACUUUCAUCGAGGAGGCGUUACUCGCAGAAGAAGCCCCGGCUAACUCCGUGCCAGCAGCCGCGGUAAUAC